rnacentral:rRNA from 1 species
GACGAACGCUGACGGUGUGCUUUAGACAUGCAAGUCGAACGCGAAAGCCCUUCGGGGUUAGUAGAGUGGCGAACGGGUGAGUAACACGUGGGCAAUCUGCCCCUCGCAGGGGGACAACCGGAGGAAACUCCGGCUAAUACCCCGUACGCUUGCUGGACCGCAUGGUCCGGCAAGGAAAGGUAGCUUCGGCCAUCCGGCGAGGGAUGAGCCCGCGGUGCAUUAGCUAGUUGGUGGGGUAACGGCCCACCAAGGCGACGAUGCAUAGCUGGUCUGAGAGGAUGAUCAGCCACACUGGGACUGAGACACGGCCCAGACUCCUACGGGAGGCAGCAGUCGGGAAUCUUGCGCAAUGGGCGAAAGCCUGACGCAGCAACACCGUGUGAGCGACGAAGGCCU